rnacentral:rRNA from 1 species
AGAGUUUGAUCCUGGCUCAGAUUGAACGCUGGCGGCAGGCCUAACASAUGCAAGUCGAGCGGUAGCACAGAGAGCUUGCUCUCGGGUGACGAGCGGCGGACGGGUGAGUAAUGUCUGGGAAACUGCCUGAUGGAGGGGGAUAACUACUGGAAACGGUAGCUAAUACCGCAUAACGUCGCAAGACCAAAGUGGGGGACCUUCGGGCCUCAUGCCAUCAGAUGUGCCCAGAUGGGAUUAGCURGUAGGUGGGGUAACGGCUCACCUAGGCGACGAUCCCUAGCUGGUCUGAGAGGAUGACCAGCCACACUGGAACUGAGACACGGUCCAGACUCCUACGGGAGGCAGCAGUGGGGAAUAUUGCACAAUGGGCGCAAGCCUGAUGCAGCCAUGCCGCGUGUGUGAAGAAGGCCUUCGGGUUGUAAAGCACUUUCAGCGGGGAGGAAGGCGGUGAGGUUAAUAACCUCAYCGAUUGACGUUACCCGCAGAAGAAGCACCGGCUAACUCCGUGCCAGCAGCCGCGGUAAU